GACGAACGCUGGCGGCGUGCUUAACACAUGCAAGUCGAGCGGUAAGGCCCCUUCGGGGGUACACGAGCGGCGAACGGGUGAGUAACACGUGGGUGACCUGCCCUCAGCUCUGGGAUAAGCCUGGGAAACUGGGUCUAAUACCGGAUAUGACUCCAUGACGCAUGUCGUGGGGUGGAAAGCCUUGUGCGGCUGGGGAUGGGCCCGCGGCCUAUCAGCUUGUUGGUGGGGUGANGGCCUACCAAGGCGACGACGGGUAGCCGGCCUGAGAGGGCGACCGGCCACACUGGGACUGAGACACGGCCCAGGCUCCUACGGGAGGCAGCAGUGGGGAAUCUUGCGCAAUGGGCGAAAGCCUGACGCAGCGACGCCGCGUGAGGGAUGACGGCCU
rnacentral:rRNA from 1 species